AUGCACCUUCGCAGCCAACUCCGCCGUGGGCGCGUCGCCGCCGCCGCCGCCGCCGCCAUCCUGCUCGUGAUCGGCCUCGGCGCCGGGUUCACGGGGGCGGACACCGACACGUUCAUCUACGCGGGGUGCUCGCCGUCCAAGUACCAGCCGGGGACCCCCUACGAGGGCAACCUCAAGUCGCUCCUCGCCUCCAUCACCGACGCGGCGCCCAACGCCGCGUACAGCAGCUUCGCCAACGGCACGGGCGACGGCGCCGCCGCGUACGGGCUCUACCAGUGCCGCGGCGACCUGGGCAACGCCGAGUGCGCGGCGUGCGUGCGGGACGCGCUGGCGCAGCUCGGCCAGGUGUGCCCGGGCGCCUACGCGGCGUCGCUGCAGCUGGAGGGGUGCUACGUGCGCUACGACGGCACCAACUUCGUGGGCCGGCCGGACACGGCCAUGGUGUACCGCAAGUGCAGCGCCAGCACCAGCGCCGACGCCGGCUUCCUCCGGGACCGGGACGCCGUGCUGGGCGCGCUCCAGGCUGCGGCGGCCGACGGGUACAGGGUGGGCAGCUCCGGUAGCGUGCAGGGGGUCUCGCAGUGCCUGGGCGACCUGGCCGCCGCCGACUGCACGGGGUGCCUUGCGCAGGCGGUCGGGCAGCUCAAGGGCGCCUGCGGCACGGCGCUCGCCGCCGACGUGCACCUGGCGCAGUGCUACGUCCGGUACUGGGCCAGCGGCUACUACUUCCGGCCGUCACAAGAUUAUUCGCAAGAUGACGUGGGGCGGACUCUGGCCAUAAUCAUAGGCAUCUUGGCAGGGCUGGCCCUCAUCGUGGUCUUCAUCUCCUUCCUCAAGAAAUCAUGUAAGGCCUCCUCGAAAACUUUCUCUUGUUUUCAGUUCGUAGAGCAUCUGAAUGCCCUUCUAUAUUAUACUUACCAAUCGCAGCGAGUGCUUGUCAAAAAGCAGAGUCUGAAGAACUAA
rnacentral:rRNA from 1 species